GACGUAGGGUGCAAGCGUUGUCCGGAAUUAUUGGGCGUAAAGAGCUCGUAGGCGGUUUGUCGCGUCUGCUGUGAAAACCCGAGGCUCAACCUCGGGCCUGCAGUGGGUACGGGCAGACUAGAGUGCGGUAGGGGAGAUUGGAAUUCCUGGUGUAGCGGUGAAAUGCGCAGAUAUCAGGAGGAACACCGGCGGCGAAGGCGGGUCUCUGGGCCGUAACUGACACUGAGGAGCGAAAGCGUGGGGAGCGAACAGG
rnacentral:rRNA from 1 species